UACGUAGGGGGCAAGCGUUGUCCGGAUUUAUUGGGCGUAAAGAGCGUGUAGGCGGCUAGGUAGGUCCGUUGUGAAAACUCGAGGCUCAACCUCGAGACGCCGGUGGAAACCAUCUAGCUAGAGUCCGGAAGAGGAGAGUGGAAUUCCUGGUGUAGCGGUGAAAUGCGCAGAUAUCAGGAAGAACACCAAUGGCGAAGGCAGCUCUCUGGGACGGUACUGACGCUGAGACGCGAAAGCGUGGGUAGCAAACAGG
rnacentral:rRNA from 1 species